GACGAACGCUGGCGGCGUGCGUAACACAUGCAAGUCGAACGGAAAGGCCCUGCUUUUGUGGGGUGCUCGAGUGGCGAACGGGUGAGUAACACGUGAGUAACCUGCCCUUGACUUUGGGAUAACUUCAGGAAACUGGGGCUAAUACCGGAUAGGAGCUCCUGCUGCAUGGUGGGGGUUGGAAAGUUUCGGCGGUUGGGGAUGGACUCGCGGCUUAUCAGCUUGUUGGUGGGGUAGUGGCUUACCAAGGCUUUGACGGGUAGCCGGCCUGAGAGGGUGACCGGCCACAUUGGGACUGAGAUACGGCCCAGACUCCUACGGGAGGCAGCAGCGGGGAAUAUUGCACAAUGGGCGGAAGCCUGAUGCAGCAACGCCGCGUGCGGGAUGACGGCCUUCGGGUUGCAAACCGCUUUCGCCUGUGACGAAGCGUGAGUGACGGUAAUGGGUAAAGAAGCACCGGCUAACUACGUG
rnacentral:rRNA from 1 species